rnacentral:rRNA from 1 species
GUAGGGUGCAAGCGUUAUCCGGAAUCAUUGGGCGUAAAGCGUUCGUAGGCUGUCUAGCAAGUUUGUAGUUAAAUCUGGUCGCUCAACGAUCAAUUCGCUACGAAAACUACUAGGCUGGAGAUUGGCAGGGGCAACUGGAAUUCCACAUGUAGGGGUAAAAUCCGUUGAUAUGUGGAGGAACACCAAAAGCGAAGGCAGGUUGCUGGGCCAUUUCUGACGCUGAGGAACGAAAGCGUGGGGAGCAAACAGGGAUUAGAUACCCUGGUAGUCCACGCCGUAAACGAUGGAUACUCGAUGUGGGAGGGAAUCGACCCCCCCUUUCCGUGUCUAAGCUAACGCGUUAAGUAUCCCCGCCUGGGGGAGUACGGUCGCAAGAUUAA